rfam:Equus caballus chromosome X, whole genome shotgun sequence.
CAUUAGUAGGCCUCAGUAAAUGUUUAUUGGAUGAAUAAAUGAAUGACUCAUCAACAAACAUUUAUUGUGUGCCUGCUAACGUG